GGAUUAGAUACCCUGGUAGUCCACGCCGUAAACGAUGGGUACUAGGCGUCGGGGGGAGCGACCCCUUCGGUGCCGCCGCUAACGCAGUAAGUACCCCGCCUGGGGAGUACGGCCGCAAGGCUGAAACUCAAAGGAAUUGACGGGGGCCCGCACAAGCGGUGGAGCAUGUGGUUUAAUUCGAUGCAACGCGAAGAACCUUACCUGGGCUUGACAUGUACGUGAAACUCCGUGGAAACACGGAGCCCUCUUCGGAGCACGUACACAGGUGCUGCAUGGCUGUCGUCAGCUCGUGCCG
rnacentral:rRNA from 1 species